rnacentral:rRNA from 1 species
UACGAAGGGGGCUAGCGUUGUUCGGAGUUACUGGGCGUAAAGGGCGCGUAGGCGGCGCACCAAGUCAGGCGUGAAAGCCCUGGGCUCAACCCGGGAAUUGCGCUUGAGACUGGUGUGCUUGAGUACGGGAGAGGAUAGUGGAAUUCCCAGUGUAGAGGUGAAAUUCGUAGAUAUUCGCAAGAACACCAGUGGCGAAGGCGGCUUACUGGUCCGGUACUGACGCUGAGGUGCGAAAGCGUGGGGAGCAAACAGG